rnacentral:rRNA from 1 species
UACGUAGGUGGCAAGCGUUAUCCGGAAUUAUUGGGCGUAAAGAGCGCGCAGGUGGUUGAUUAAGUCUGAUGUGAAAGCCCACGGCUUAACCGUGGAGGGUCAUUGGAAACUGGUCGACUUGAGUGCAGAAGAGGGAAGUGGAAUUCCAUGUGUAGCGGUGAAAUGCGUAGAGAUUAGGAAGAACACCAGUGGCGAAGGCGAUUCUCUGGACUGUAACUGACGCUGAGGCUCGAAAGCGUGGGGAGCAAACAGGAUUAGAUA